rnacentral:lncRNA from 1 species
CGCGUGUCGCCUCUUGGGUCACAUUGAAAGCCAGCGUUGCCCGGGGAUGGGUCCCUGACACUUGGCGAAGUAGGAGCCCUGUGUGAUCGUGCGUCUGAGUCUGGGCUGAGACCAGUCCUGGCCAGGGCAGUUACCAGGACAGUCUCCGGAGGCGGGGAUUUGCGCAGGGUCCACCAGCAGGAAGAAACCCCAGGAGGAAGAAACCUCAGACAGAUCGCCGGCGAGGCAGCGCGGGAUCCCAGCCUCAGGCGUGCGUGGACGGUGUGCGGUGCACACAACCAAGCUUAGGAGCCGACUGUUAAGAUGCCCAAGUGACACGGACAAGUUUCUCCUCUGCAACCCAAUGAGAUCUGCUGACCACGAGAGCAUCGCGGGACCGCCAAAGGAUUCUGGAAAAUGUGGUCCCGGGUGGCCAGUGUGCGCUGACCUUCACCUGAAGGUACGGCUUGAAGGAAACUUCUGGAGGGUGGGGUGGUGUUGAAGAGAAGGCACAGUUGUAACCAUUUUGUUCAACAUGGGCGUUUUCUUUGUGCAUUGAUUUGCAUUUUUAAAGGUAUUCCAUUAAAAAUAUGUUUAUCUAUUUUAAUUUUUUUUUGGUGCCCCUUUAAAUUCUCUAUCCACAGUCCUGAGCCUUAAUACGAAGUGAGGGCCUGGCCUCUGGGCAUCAAGCAGCCAGAAAGUCCCUUAGGAGCUUUCUCUGAAUUGUUGAAUUGUGACUGAUCUUUUCCUUUCCUGACUUCCUUAAUAUCCACAAUUUCCUCGUAACCAUCCCCCCAAAGCCACACCCACAAGGCACCUCCAAGACCUAUCAUGAAGCGGAUAUUCAAAGAUUAUUUUUAAAUCUUCACACCCCACCCCUUCCAGAAUGUCUUCCAACAUCCCUUCGCCUGGAGAAAUAAAACACAAGGUUUGCAUGUUGAGUAUCAGCCUCUCCCAUUGGGUGGGUGUUUAGGAAAAAGAAUCAGCCAAGAGCCCUAUUCCAGCCCAGGUAAAUGACUUUGCCAAAGAUUUAAUAUCCACAAAUGUACAAUGCUCACUGGGAACCAAAGUCAGGCAUGGGGCUGGGCUUUAAGGAGCACAAACUAAAAGGAGGGACUAGAAAACUUCAGAAAGGUAUUGGUGGGGGAUGUUGCGGGGGGACAGGGGACAGCGAGGAUGUGGGAUCCCGAGAUAAUCCAAAUCCCUAUGUGUAGACAUAUGCGUAUAAAGGCCUUUAAGAGACUCAGGCUGAUGGGGUAUCUGUAAUA